rnacentral:tmRNA from 1 species
GGGGAUGACAGGCAUCGACGGUUUGCCCGGUUCAUCUGCGCAAUGCCGAAGUUGAAUGGGACUUCGCUAAAACUCAUUCAUCUGUACGUGCAAACAAAAGCGUACCAAGCCCGUUUGCAUACGGGUUCGCCUUCGCUCGAGCUUAAAUUUUAGCUCGCGACUGGCGACGCCGCGUUACCUGACGUUUGAUAAGGUAAUGUCGGUGGAAUAGCCAUCGAACUCUAGAUAAUUGGUUUGUUCCUCCAAUUAUCCAAAAUGUUAGGAACUGCUCGUCUGAAGGUUUUGCCUACUUUUCCACUUCAGACGCUAAGAUCUAAACUAGGCUAUGCAUUGUAGACUCAGCUGGAUCGACAUUCUCGGACGGCGGUUCAAUUCCGCCCAUCUCCACGA